UGGCGUUGCGGGCAGCUACACAUGCAAGUCGAACGAACUCUUCGGAGUUAGUGGCGGACGGGUGAGUAACACGUGGGAACGUGCCUUUAGGUUCGGAAUAACUCAGGGAAACUUGUGCUAAUACCGAAUGUGCCCUUCGGGGGAAAGAUUUAUCGCCUUUAGAGCGGCCCGCGUCUGAUUAGCUAGUUGGUGGGGUAAUGGCCCACCAAGGCUACGAUCAGUAGCUGGUCUGAGAGGAUGACCAGCCACAUUGGGACUGAGACACGGCCCAAACUCCUACGGGAGGCAGCAGUGGGGAAUCUUGCGCAAUGGGCGAAAGCCUGACGCAGCCAUGCCGCGUGUAUGAUGAAGGUCUUAGGAUUGUAAAAUACUUUCACCGGUGAAGAUAAUGACUGUAGCCGGAGAAGAAGCCCCGGCUAACUUCGUGCCAGCAGCCGCGGUAAUACGAAGGGGGCUAGCGUUGCUCGGAAUUACUGGGCGUAAAGGGAGCGUAGGCGGACAUUUAAGUCAGAGGUGAAAUCCCGGAGCUUAACUUCGGAACUGCCUUUGAUACUGGGUGUCUUGAGUGUGAGAGAGGUAUGUGGAACUCCGAGUGUAGAGGUGAAAUUCGUAGAUAUUCGGAAGAACACCAGUGGCGAAGGCGACAUACUGGCUCAUUACUGACGCUGAGGCUCGAAAGCGUGGGGAGCAAACAGGAUUAGAUACCCUGGUAGUCCACGCCGUAAACGAUGAUUGCUAGUUGUCGGGAAGCUUGCUUCUCGGUGACGCAGCUAAACGCAUUAAGCAAUCCGCCUGGGGAGUACGGUCGCAAGAUUAAAACUCAAAGGAAUUGACGGGGCCCGCACAAAGCGGGUGGACAUGUGGUUUAAUUCGAACAACGCGCCAGGACCUUUAUCACCUUUUGACAUUGGCCCGGACCGCCAUAGAGAUCUGGGCUUUCCCUUCGGGUACUGGGAACCAAGUUGCUGCAUGGCUGUCGUACGCCUCUGUCGUGAGAUG
rnacentral:rRNA from 1 species